GCCAGAUCAUUUGGAGCAGUGAAUCUAUGCAACUAAUAAUGGUUGUUAAUCUUGAACAACAAUGGGUUUCUUAAUCUAUUGUGUACUUGGGGUGAGUUAAUAAAGGAAGAAAGCAUAAGGCCGUCUCUCUGCGAUUCCCACUGAAGAUGUCGGUUUCUCUACAGCCUUCUUUUUUCCUGAGGCUGCUAACCUGAGGCAGCCUGCAGGCAGUCCUUGUUCAGCCUCCACAAUUGUGACCGGCAACUUAAAUGAAGCAGUCACUAAGUGAAACCACAUCUGUGCUUAUGAUCUUACUUCAGCUGUCCCAAGUGGAAGGAGUGUUCACAAAAUUACUUUUCAUCGUCAUCAUUGUAAUUGCGAAUGGUCGCUAAAUGAGACAGGCAAUAAAUGAAGACUACCGGUAUUAUGCAAACUA